rnacentral:lncRNA from 1 species
CUGCUUAUGAUUGCUCUGAUUAGCAAAUGUAAGUUAUAUCUCAACUUUCAGAUACUGAUAGUCUACAAUGUAUUCCAAUUUCUGCUGUAAAAGCUGUAUUAUUGUAAGGCAGCUUGAAAAAUCAACACUUUUGCCUUCUAUUGUAAUAAAAUCAUUUAAAGACAAUUGCCUAAAGGCUGCCAGUGGGACAGUGUAUCUUGGAGUGACAUGCGAGUCACUAUAGUGAGUCCAAG